GGGAAUCUUCCACAAUGGACGCAAGUCUGAUGGAGCAACGCCGCGUGAGUGAAGAAGGUUUUCGGACCGUAAAGCUCUGUUGUUGGUGAAGAAGGAUAGGGGUAGUAACUGGCCUUUAUUUGACGGUAAUCAACCAGAAAGUCACGGCUAACUACGUGCCAGCAGCCGCGGUAAUACGUAGGUGGCAAGCGUUGUCCGGAUUUAUUGGGCGUAAAGCGAGCGCAGGCGGAAGAAUAAGUCUGAUGUGAAAGCCCUCGGCUUAACCGAGGAAUUGCAUCGGAAACUGUUUUCUUGAGUGCAGAAGAGGAGAGUAGAACUCCAUGUGUAGCGGUGGAAUGCGUAGAUAUAUGGAAGAAUACCAGUGGCGAAGGCGGCUCUCUGGUCUGCAACUGACGCUGAGGCUCGAAAGCAUGGGUAGCGAACAGGAUUAGAUACCCUGGUAGUCCAUGCCGUAAACGAUGAGUGCUAAGUGUUGGGAGGCUUCCGCCUCUCAGUGCUGCAGCUAACGCAUUAAGCACUCCGCCUGGGGGAGUACGACCGCAAGGUU
rnacentral:rRNA from 1 species